rnacentral:lncRNA from 1 species
CAUCCAAUAAUAUGGAUCUAUGGGUGACCAAUCCGGGUGCCCAUCCGAGGUUUUAAACACCAGUAGAGACGCUGGCAAAAAUGAGAACUUUGAUUGGCCCUAAUGUUUUUUAAACACGCAGGAGAAAGAGAGAGUCGGCGUUUGAUAACGCCAAAUGCUUGGAAAGUUUUCUUGAUCUCUACCUUUCUCCCGUUUGGGAAUAGUAGAAAGUGGAAAGUCGGAGAUAACCUUCUUGUGGGCGAGGUUAGAGAUAGAGGGUUUAGGGUUUACUUACCCUGCAUUUUUCUAGAGAGAGAGGGCUAUGACAGUUGGCGAGAUUAAAGGUUACAAAGAAGGAACCCGCUGAUAAGGUAUUGUUUUUCAUUUUUCAUUUGAAAUCUUUUAUAUUCAUACUCAAAUCUGAGAAAUCGAGAACCAUCUUCCAAUUAUUGUUUUCUCGUAUGUUUUUAUUGUUAUUGCUUUGUAAUUUGGCGUUUCCUGAUCAUUUUGGCUGAACCCAUUUCGCUCAUCUUGGGAUCAUGCAUUUUAACUAAGGCUUAACUUAUUGCAUUAAUUUGAUUUUUCCUUCCUAACAUUUCAUGAUUGAAAGCUCCUCAAUCAGGGCUUAUGGUUUAACCCAUUUCUAAUUGACCCCUGAAUAUAUAGUAAAAAAAAAGUAUACAGUAAUCCUAUUACUAUUGUUACCGUCUUUGAUUUAUUAUUAGUAGAAUUUUGUUUCUAUAUACCUGUCUCUGGGGAUAAAACCUGGUUAUUUGGGAAAUUUUUUUAUUAAAACCUGGUUACUUUGGAUUCUCUGCAAAUGAUAUUUUUGUUUUGGAGGAUAGGCAAAUUCCAUCUCCACCCUAUUGAUGAAAUUUUCACUGAUUCAAGCUCCAAUGCUUCUGUUCGUGAUGUUAAUUUGGAACACUCUAAUUACUGUAUUGUCACUGUCAACAUAAUUAUGGCUUAAAUUUUUGCUUAUGUUUGAAGUCGGAUGCUUAAUUUCAGAGCUUUCUUGCAGAGAACUGUAACACACUUCUUGAUGGAUUUUCUUUUGUAUGACAAAUAGGUUUUGAACAUCAACUCUGAACUCUAUGGAGUUAAUUUUGUUGUAAUUGUUGAUGGAAGAAUUGCCUUUACAGUUUGCCAAAUUUGUAGUAAGAUGUUACUAAUUGCUUUCUUUAAGAUGUUUCUUUGUUAAGUUACAUAGAUGUGAGAUUAAAUUCCAAUCUUAACCAUACGUUGUAAGAUUAAUACCAAAAAGUACCUCAAUUUAAAAGUAAUAAUUUUUUAAUGAAUAAAUUUUUUAAAAUAAUAUUAUUUGUAAUUACAAUUAUAGAAUUUAAUUAUAACUGUAACAUUCUAAUAAAAAUAAAUUAUUCUUACUAAUACUUACUUUUUACAAUUAUUGUAGAACCUUUCGUAGUAAGGUUUAUUUAUUUAUUUUUUGAAUUACUUUUUGGG